rnacentral:rRNA from 1 species
GCUGUUUUCGAGCUCCUCAGCGAAGACCUCGUACCGAUAACCGCGUCACGUACGCCACGCGGCCUCAGACCUCAGUAGUCCACGAAAUUGACCGAGGGAACCCGCGCAUGGAGCGGAGGCAGCCGCAGACCGCGCUGGCGCCGCGGCGGAAGGGCGCGCCGGCGGCGAGCCAGGAGUGGCUGGUGGUGCCGGCGGCGGGGGAGGAGAGCACGGGGGAGUUCGGGAGGCACCGGAUCAUGGAGAUAACGGGGCUCCCCGCGCGGGACCUCCGCAUGCUCGACCCGCAGAUCUCCUACCCGUCCACCAUCCUCGGCCGCGACCGCGCCAUCGUCGUCAACCUGGAGCACGUCAAGGCCAUCGUCACCGCCGCCGAGGUGCUCGUCCGCGACCCCGGCAACCCGCGCCUCCGCCCCUUCCUCCAAGAACUCCACGCCCGCCUCGCGCUCCCGGAUGCGUCUACCACUAAUCCGGCAACCGACGACAUAGACCUGGGUGGUGAUCAGGGGAACGUGCCAAUGCCUGGCAGCGCUAAGAUCCAGCCCUUCGAGUUCAAGGUGCUAGAGGUCUGCCUCGAACACACAUGCAAAUGCAUGGAAUCCGAGACGUUGGCCCUCGAGAAGGAGGCGUAUCCGGCCUUGGACAAGCUGACCUCCAAGGUUAGCACGCUCAACCUGGAGCACGUCAGGCAGAUCAAGAGCCGCCUGGUAGAGCUAACAGGCCGCGUGCAGAAGGUGAGGGAUGAUAUCGAGCAGUUGGUUGACGAUGACACGGAUAUGUCCGAGAUGUACCUGACGAGGAAGCUUGCGUUUCAAGGAGUCAAUGAGUCAUCGGUUAAAGUGGACUCCAACAAACAUGCAUCUCCUGACCAUGAGGAUGAGAAGGAGGAAGAAGACAGUGGCGAUGGCAUAGAGAGCUCCCACGGAAGUUCCGCUUUUGUUAAGCCUGAUGUAGAAGAGUUGGAAAUGCUUCUCGAAGCUUACUUCGUGCAGUUUGAUGGCACGCUGAACAAAUUAUGCCAUCUCCGCGACUAUGUGGACGACACUGAGGAUUACAUCAACAUGAUGCUGGACGAGAAGCAGAACCAGCUGCUGCAGAUGGGCGUGAUGCUCACGACGGCGACCGUGGUGAUCACCGCUGGCAUCGUGGUCGUGAGCCUGUUCGGCAUGAACAUCCACAUCGAGCUGACGUUAGAUCCGGAGACCCCCGAGAUGGCAAGGAUCAAAAACAGAAAGUUCUGGGAGACCACCUGGGCCACCGUUGCCGGCUGCGCCGCCAUAUACCUCCUGGCAAUCUAUGCAGGGAAGAAGAGCAAAUACUUGCAGUGAUGCUGCCUUGUUCUCUGUUCUGCGGUCCAGGGCCACGUUUUUGCCUCCGCGAAGGGAUUUGUUCUGUCCGGAAGACGCAGUAGCUUAUGCUUUUUUUUUAGCCGCAGCAGCUGAUGCUUGGUUUGGGUAGGAAUAACGAAUGACAGUCAUCUAAAGAUCCCUUAUUUAUCCUGUCGUAUCAAUUUACAACUACGUAGUUUUGUAAAAGAGGUCAACGACAGUUGUGGUCUCAAGUCUUCAGUGAAACCAACAGACGAUCCCAGGUUUCACGGAUGGUAUGUAAACCAAAGAUUUUCCAUCAUUGCUGCACCUGAAGUGCUCACUAGCGGAUGUACAAAAGGUAUUACGGAACUCAGCAUAUGUAAGUCUAAGACACGUCAGCUAAAACUUCAGUUAGAUGGUUACUAUGUUUGCGCCUUCCUUGAUCUGGUCCGUCGAACCUGGCAAAAAAAAAGAGGAAUAUCAGCUCAUGAUAUUCACAAAUGAGGGAUGAAUCAUGCAUAUGCUUCCCAAAUGCACUUACAUUGUCUAUUGUGUCCACGGCUGAUCCAGCAGAAUUUUUUGCAUUUCUCAAAUCCAAUGCUCUCUUGCUUUUCUUCUUGAGGGCAGCCACUGCUAAAAAAUGGAAGGUUGAUCG